UUUGCAGGUUUCUGAAUUGAUGUCAGAUGCAAAGCAGAAGCUUAUUUUCUUCCAGUUUGGCUUCAUUGUGGAAAAAUGCUUGAAACUAAAAUGCAGAAUUCUGGCCUGGUGUUUGGUCCCCACUUUCUCUGGCUUGUGUCUCCAUCAUCAUUACACUCUUGUCAGUGUAAUAGUAUCGUCGUCUGCGUACCAGGACUUUGUUACUCAGCUGUCCCUUCUCCUUCAAGCUACAUUUUUGUCAAGCUGCAACAAGUUGGAAUACAUAAUUAUUAACGUUUAAUGAUUUUGAUGUAUGAAAUAUGUAACAAAAGCAAAAAAUGUAUAGACAUUCUAUUAAGAAAUUACCUUUUUGUUGUUUGUUUACUGACCUUUCAACCAUAUUGCAUUUAUAAUUGAUCAUCAUACCUUUGGUCUACUGUUAACAGGCUACUUUAGAAAACAAAGACAAACAAAAAAGAGAGAAAAAAUUAUAAAUGCUGAAUGUGUCUCAUCUUA